rnacentral:rRNA from 1 species
GAUGAACGCUGGCGGCGUGCCUAAUACAUGCAAGUCGAGCGAACAGAUGAGGAGCUUGCUCCUCUGACGUUAGCGGCGGACGGGUGAGUAACACGUGGAUAACCUACCUAUAAGACUGGGAUAACUUCGGGAAACCGGAGCUAAUACCGGAUAAUAUAUUGAACCGCAUGGUUCAAUAGUGAAACACGGUUUUGCUGUCACUUAUAGAUGGAUCCGCGCCGCAUUAGCUAGUUGGUAAGGUAACGGCUUACCAAGGCAACGAUGCGUAGCCGACCUGAGAGGGUGAUCGGCCACACUGGAACUGAGACACGGUCCAGACUCCUACGGGAGGCAGCAGUAGGGAAUAUUCCGCAAUGGGCGAAAGCCUGACGGAGCAACGCCGCGUGAGUGAUGAAGGUCUUCGGAUCGUAAAACUCUGUUAUUAGGGAAGAACAAAUGUGUAAGUAACUAUGCACGUCUUGACGGUACCUAAUCAGAAAGCAACGGCUAACUACGUG